UACGUAGGGUGCGAGCGUUAAUCGGAAUUACUGGGCGUAAAGCGUGCGCAGGCGGUUGGUUAAGUCUGAUGUGAAAGCCCCGGGCUCAACUUGGGAAUGGCAUUGGAAACUGGCUGGCUAGAGUGUGGCAGAGGGGGGUGGAAUUCCGCGUGUAGCAGUGAAAUGCGUAGAGAUGCGGAGGAACACCGAUGGCGAAGGCAGCCCCCUGGGCUAGCACUGACGCUCAGGCACGAAAGCGUGGGGAGCAAACAGG
rnacentral:rRNA from 1 species